GACGAACGCUGGCGGCGUGCUUAACACAUGCAAGUCGAACGAAGUGGCGAACGGGUGAGUAAUACGUGGGUAACCUGCCCUUCAGAGGGGGACAACAGUUGGAAACGACUGCUAAUACCGCAUACUGAAGGAGGGGAUUGCGUCUGAUUAGCUAGUUGGAGGGGUAAAGGCCCACAAAGGGGAUGAUAAGUAGCCGGUCGGGGAGGAUGAAGGGACACAUGGGGACUGAGACACGGCCCAGACUUCUACGGGAGGCAGCAGUGGGGAGUCUUCCGAAAUGGACGAAAGUCUGACGGAGCAACGCCGCGUGAGUGAUGACGGCCUUCGGGUUGUAAAGCUCUGUUAAUCGGGACGCGGUACCGGAAUAGAAAGCCACGGCUAACUACGUGCCAGCAGCCGCGGUAAUUC
rnacentral:rRNA from 1 species